rnacentral:piRNA from 1 species
UAGUUCCCACAAUAAACGAUUAGCAAAU